UUAUCCUCAAAUAGCUAGAUUUCAAAAUAACUCUUUAACUUAAUUUCUUCACUCUAUUAAAUCAAAAGUACCACAAAGCAGAUGGUAGAUCGUUAAUUCUCAUGAUCAGAGACUUUAAAUUCUCAUGUCUUCAUCUUCUUCUUCUUCUGACCCAUCUGACUCAUCAUCAUCUGCACCACCAAAGCUUCCAUUGAAACCAAUCCCAGGCGACUAUGGCUUACCCUUCUUCGGUCCCAUUAAAGAUCGUUACAACUAUUUCUACAGCCAAGGAAAAGAUGAGUUCUUCAAAACCCGAAUCCAAAAAUACAACUCCACAGUCUUCCGUACCAACAUGCCUCCCGGCUCCUUCAUCGCUUCAAACCCUAAAGUCAUAGCAGUCCUCAACGCCGUGAGCUUCCCCGUUCUCUUUGACACCUCCAAAGUCGAAAAACGUAACGUCUUGGACGGCACCUACAUGCCCUCCACAUCCUUCACCGGCGGCUAUCGCGUCUGCGCCUAUCUCGACCCCUCAGAACCGAACCACUCUUCUCUCAAGCGCUUCUUCUUGUCUCUACUCGCCAGUCGCCACAACAAGUUCAUCCCACUCUUCCAAAACCACUUGUCAGACCUCUUUCUCAACCUGGAAACUGAAAUUUCAAAAAAUGGCAAAGCAGACUUCAACACUCCGAGCGACGACAUGGCCUUUAAGUUCGUGUUCUCGCUGUUCUGCGGGUCACACAAUACUUCAUUGGGUUCUAAAGGGCCAAGCUUGGUGGCCUUAUGGCUCGCGCCACAACUGGCCCCGCAGAUCACACUCGGAUCGCCCAAGUUGCUGAGCUUUGCUGAAGAUUUGUUGCUGCACACGUUUUCCUACCCUGCAUUUCUGGUCAAAUCGACCUACACGAAGCUCUACGAUGCGCUUUACGAGUCGUCAGCUUCGGUUUUGGACGAGGCCGAGAAUAGUUUCGGGAUUCCACGAGAAGAAGCUUGCCACAACCUUUUGUUUUUGGUUUGCUUCAAUGCUUUUGGUGGCAUGAAGCUUUUGUUCCCUGCUUUAAUCAAGUGGGUUGGAUCAGCAGGAGAGGAUUUGCACCGCCUGCUCCGCAAUGAAAUCAGGGCCGUUGUUAAGGAAAAUGAUGGGAAUGUUACUUUCUCGGCGUUGGAUAAGAUGACUUUGACCAAGUCCGUGGUUUAUGAGGCUUUGAGGAUUGAACCUCCAGUUCCGUUCCAGUACGGGAAGGCCAAGGAGGAUAUCGUUGUCCAUAGCCAUGAUGCGGCAUUUGAGAUUAAGAAGGGGGAAAUGAUUUUCGGAUAUCAGCCGUUCGCCACGAAAGAUCCGAAGAUUUUUGAGAAUCCGGAGGAGUUUGUGGGGCAUAGGUUUGUAGGAGAAGGUGAGAAAUUGUUGAAGUAUGUUUAUUGGUCGAAUGGUCGCGAAACUGAGGAUCCAACGUUGGAGAAUAAGCAGUGCGCGGGGAAGGAUUUGGUGUUGCUUGUGUCGAGGUUAAUGUUGGUAGAGUUUUUCCUUCGAUAUGACACUUGUACUGUUGAUGUGACUACGGUUUCAUUGGGCGCAUCAGUGACAUUCAAAACAUUGACCAAAGCCUCCUGAAUGUCAUCAUGGUCGAUGACUUAUAAAUCGUACCUAUUUCAUUCGCAAUGCCAUUCACUUCUAGCAUGCUUGGAGAGGUUGAGAGUUGAGCUUACUAGUUUGUCUCAAAUGUAAUAUCACCAAUACAUUUGGGUGUAUCUUACUUACUUGAGUGAGACUUUUGUAGGUACACUGGAGGCAUUUUUUCUUGUACUAGUUAUUGAUGGCGUUUUCAAAGGCUGACAAAAUUUGGGCAGAUGGGAGGUCAUUACCUGUUCAGAAGCUCAAUUUAGUGUCACCUCCAGCAAUGUCGUUUUGUAAUCCCUUGUUCCUCAUUAUCGGCUUUGAAUACACAGAUGGGAUCAUGAGCCAAGAUAUAUCAUAGUGUUAGCUUAUUCAGUGUAGUUGUGCCGUCCCCAACUGACAGUGAUGUAUGGCAUUAGGUAGCACUUCUUUAUUUGGCAAUUUGUCAUUUGACAGAAAUCUCAUAUUUAAUUACUUUACUGAUAUGCCAAGUGAGAUGGCCUCAAAUCAGAAUUCACCUGGACC